AAACUUUAAAGAGAGAAGUUGAAAAUUAGCAAUGCAUCACCAAAAAAAAAAAAAUCCAAUACUGUAGUACAGUGAAUAAAAGUCAUGUAUCAACAGUCUUUACAACAUGGACAGUUAAACCUUUUGUAAUUUAAUUAAAACAACAAAAGAGAAAACAAACAAGCAGAUUGAGAUGUCCUUCAACGAUGCUUGAUGACGUGGCAACCGAGACAUGCAGCAUUCUAGGACGCAGCCUUAUUAAAAAUAAAAAAAAAUGGACGCAGCCUUAUUUAUUUUUAUUUUAUAUAUGUAUAAUGUACCCCCUGACUGAACUUGUAUUUCUUAUUAUUUUAAAAAAAUAUAUUAAAAAUAUUUUUAAAAGAACGCAGCUGUGCGUUUGAGAAACGACCGGAAACGACUUAUAUGUCGCGAGGCCAUCACGUGACCACAAUAUUUACCAGAAGACCGUUAUUUGCUCGAGUUCCCUCAACUUUUUUGUCGCAAAUAACAUUAUUAAUAACCUGUAAAUAAUAAAAUUUGUACACAUUACGUUCCUUUUCACGUUGUAAUAGUAUGUUUUUGGUUUAACAGUCGGCUUUAAGUUAGUUUUUCUGUCAGUUUGAUCGUCAAAAUCUUGAAAGUUAUCUACAGCCACACAUCCACUGUAUACCAAGUUAUGAUGAUCAAUUAUGAGAAUGCAAAAGGAUUUAUAGAUCAGUAAACAAUCAACAAAAAGAUGGGUGCUCAUGGUGGCCUCCAAAUAAAUACAUGGACAGGCUGCUAAAGAGGGUCAGGAUGAUGGAGAUGCAAGAGCCAAAGACAGCACGGACCAAACACCAGGCCAGAAUUCUGCAUGAGUCAGUUUCCAGCCUUUUUCACAAAGUUGCCGACAACUGGAAGAAUGUCCCAAAUUGCUGAAAAAAGAAAUUCAAUUGAGUAAUUUUCACUCUAGAGACCCUGGGGUGACCACCAAGGACGAAUGAAAACUCCAGUGAGUGUCUCUAAGGUAGAUCCUAAUGCAGUUGGAUGGAAUGUUGAUCCGCCUAACAUGCAAGAUUUUCUGUACCGAGAACUUUGGAUGACCAUCAAGACAAGCACUCGUUUUGAGUCCUGAGACCCUGGGGUGACCACCGUGAACAAAUACUGUACAGACUGCAAAAAGGCAGUCUUGACGGUUCUAGGAUGAAUGCAAAUAAAGACUGACCACCUGACUUCAGCGGUCCAGUCUCUUGUGGGAAGCAGGUGUUUGUUACCCCAAAUACGGAUGAAGAGUGACGAAGAGGAUGAUGACUUUUUUCUCAAACAUCAUCUGAAGAUCUUGACAGGCUGGAGACAAAAUUAACAGACUGAGGGUUUAUACAAAGAAUCUUACUCAGCCAAUAUUAAAGAUAAGAUAUUUUUACAAAAUGUUCUUUUCAUUGUUUAGGAUGAUUUUAUGUAGAAAACAAUACAUCACAAAAAAGACUUUAGCUGGGUUUUCACAGGCAGUGCCUUACACACACACUAACCACAAUUAUAAACGCAACACUAACACAGAUUUAGACAGAUUUGUGAAUAAUAUUUGAGAGAAAUAGGCCUUUUGGGGACAUAGAAAAUAUUAUGGGGGCAAAAAAAUUUUUUAACAAGUGCAAUACAAAUAUCAACCAUAAUACUGAUCGUUUUAAAAAAAAGUAAGUCACUAUAUCUUUCUAGAAUCUUACACAAGACUCAGUUACAUGAACGAUCAAAAUAAAUUAACGUCAGACAGGUGGGCGAAAUAUCAAUAUUAAAGCAUGAAUAACUGUUAUCAACCCAAUUUCAAGGUAUUAUUUAAAUGAUCCCACACCAAACAGUUUAUUAUUUAAAUGCAUUAUUACUACAUACCUUAAGCAUGUGUUCCACGCCUUUCUUCUUCUUGGCGUUGCGAGGUCAAGCGGAUGUUGUUAUGUAGAAUCACGACCUUGACGUAAAGACGCACAUCCGUAAUUUAUUUAACAAUGAUAACACUU